rnacentral:rRNA from 1 species
UACGUAGGCAGCGAGCGUUGUUCGGAGUUACUGGGCGUAAAGGGUGUGUAGGCGGUUGUUUAAGUUUGGUGUGAAAUCUCCCGGCUCAACUGGGAGGGUGCGCCGAAUACUGAAUGACUUGGAGUGCGGGAGAGGAGUGUGGAAUUCCCGGUGUAGCGGUGAAAUGCGCAGAUAUCGGGAGGAACACCCGUAGCGAAGGCGGCACUCUGGGCCGGAACUGACGCUGAGGAGCGAAAGCGUGGGGAGCAAACAGG